GUGUCCUUAGUACAGUGGUUAGUACACUUGACGUGUACAUGAGAGACAUGGGUUCAGCUUCCAUAGGACACA
rnacentral:tRNA from 2 species